ACGCUCGACACGGCACCCGCACCGAGACACGAGCCUCCGCGUAGCGCCGGCGAGCAGCAGGUACCCUCGCCC